ensembl:miRNA
GAAAUGGGAAAAGUAUUAGGUUGGUGCAAAAGUAAUUGUGGUUUUUGUCAUUAGAAGUAAUGGCAAAAACCACAAUUACUUUUGCACUGACUUGAUA